AUUGAACGCUGGCGGCAUGCCUUACACAUGCAAGUCGAACGGCAGCACGGGGCAACCUGGUGGCGAGUGGCGAACGGGUGAGUAAUGCAUCGGAACGUACCUUUCAGUGGGGGAUAACGUAGCGAAAGUUACGCUAAUACCGCAUAUUCUGUGAGCAGGAAGGCAGGGGAUCGCAAGACCUUGCGCUGAUUGAGCGGCCGAUGUCAGAUUAGCUAGUUGGUGAGGUAAAGGCUCACCAAGGCGACGAUCUGUAGCGGGUCUGAGAGGAUGAUCCGCCACACUGGAACUGGGACACGGUCCAGACUCCUACGGGAGGCAGCAGUGGGGAAUUUUGGACAAUGGGGGCAACCCUGAUCCAGCCAUGCCGCGUGAGUGAAGAAGGCCUUCGGGUUGUAAAGCUCUUUCGGCCGGGAAGAAAUCGCACGGGCUAAUACCCUGUGUGGAUGACGGUACCGGAAUAAGAAGCACCGGCAAACUACGUGCCAGCCGCCGCCGUAACAC
rnacentral:rRNA from 1 species